GACGAACGCUGGCGGCGUGCUUAACACAUGCAAGUCGAACGGAAAGGCCCUGCUUUUGUGGGGUGCUCGAGUGGCGAACGGGUGAGUAACACGUGAGUAACCUGCCCUUGACUUUGGGAUAACUUCAGGAAACUGGGGCUAAUACCGGAUAGGAGCUCCUGCUGCAUGGUGGGGGUUGGAAAGUUUCGGCGGUUGGGGAUGGACUCGCGGCUUAUCAGCUUGUUGGUGGGGUAGUGGCUUACCAAGGCUUUGACGGGUAGCCGGCCUGAGAGGGUGACCGGCCACAUUGGGAAUGAGAUACGGCCCAGACUCCUACGGGAGGCAACAGUGGGGAAUAUUGCACAAUGGGCGGAAGCCUGAUGCAGCAACGCCGCGUGCGGGAUGACGGCCUUCGGGUUGUAAACCGCUUUCGCCUGUGACGAAGCGUGAGUGACGGUAAUGGGUAAAGAAGCACCGGCUAACUACGU
rnacentral:rRNA from 1 species